AUGAUCCCAUGGGAAUCCUAUAAAAGAAUCACUUAUCCCAUCCCAGCGAAUGAUCCUAUACAGUUCGUAUAUCUAUUUCGUCAUUCAAUCAUGAAAACAGUGAUUCUUGAACAAAAUGCGAUUAGUAGAGAAGCACAAUCUCUCAGAGUCACUUUGAGUACGGGGAAGUCCGCAGGAGGGAUGAGAUCCGCCUGCUACUCCACCUCUUCUUCUUCCCCAAUAGACGAAGAAGAAAAUAGGGCCAAGGCGCUAUUGGAGAUGCGCAAAAAAUAUCCAUCGGGAGAUGGCGCUGACGCCGAUGCUAACGCUCGCAAGGUGGUUUUGCAGGCAAUUUCACAAAAUAGUUUUUUUUCGUUGAGCUCAUAA
rnacentral:rRNA from 1 species